rnacentral:rRNA from 1 species
GAUGAACGCUGGCGGCGUGCUUAACACAUGCAAGUCGAACGAUGAAGCCCAGCUUGCUGGGUGGAUUAGUGGCGAACGGGUGAGUAACACGUGAGUAACCUGCCCUUAACUCUGGGAUAAGCCUGGGAAACUGGGUCUAAUACCGGAUAGGAGCGUCCACCGCAUGGUGGGUGUUGGAAAGAUUUAUCGGUUUUGGAUGGACUCGCGGCCUAUCAGCUUGUUGGUGAGGUAAUGGCUCACCAAGGCGACGACGGGUAGCCGGCCUGAGAGGGUGACCGGCCACACUGGGACUGAGACACGGCCCAGACUCCUACGGGAGGCAGCAGUGGGGAAUAUUGCACAAUGGGCGAAAGCCUGAUGCAGCGAUGCCGCGUGAGGGAUGACGGCCUUCGGGUUGUAAACCUCUUUCAGUAGGGAAGAAGCGAAAGUGACGGUACCUGCAGAAGAAGCACCGGCUAACUACGUG